rnacentral:lncRNA from 1 species
CUCGACACCCUGUUUUUUGGCCUGGACAAGAGGCAUUUUCGUAUUUCACCAUUUUUAGAAGAAAUUGUACAGUUGAAGGGGCCACAAGCAGCUUUUUGUCUAACAUUGGCUUUGAUUUUGGUGCUCCAACUGUACCAUAUUUUCUACUUUUGGGGCAAUAAAUAGGCUCACGUUUCUCUUUCUUCUCUCUCUUUCAUAGAAAAUUGCUCUGAAUAGAAAUAGCUAGAGUUUGUUCCUUUGGUGUUCUUUGUUGUGUGUUUUUUGUUUAAUUUCUUGCUGUUGUGCAUAUAUUUUCGUUUUCUUACUAUUUUUUGUUGUCAGUUUGAAGCUCCAAUUCUUCAAAGUGCAAAAUGGAGGGUGGUCCCCUCGGGGCACUUCUCCUCUGACAAAGAACGGGUUCUCUCAAAGUUGACAGAUCAGAGAUUGUGAGUUCGAUUUUUAGAGUUGUUGGAAGGCAAGGCACAUACUGGAAGGCAGGAGUGUUUUAAAAGGCACUUUGACAGUCCAGUUGGAGAGGUGCUCGGACUCUGAUCAGUUGGGGCACAUCCCGUGAUUUAACUGGUCUGUGUGAAGAGGGAUUAGAUCACAUAUCCAAAGAAUAAUCGUCGAAGAUGGACACCUUGAUAAAAUAAAAUAAAAUAAAAAUGGAGGGCGACGGUGCUACUAGCAAUGCGCAAGGGACUGCUUGUCGAUGUGUACGGUGCGGGUCGUGCUUUUAUAGGGUACAAUUCUCUUUUCUUAUCUAACUUUGUUCACUUUUUUUUUUUUUUUUACAAGGUGUCCGGGCUUGCGUCCGACUAGAUCCUUGUCCCUGAACCUCCGGCCCCUCAGCAGCUCAGGGAGGUAAAUCGCAGGAUGUGCCCUUGUUGGCUCCCAGGUUCCCACAACUCAUUUGGACUCCUUCCGCAAAGAGAGCUCUCCUCGCUGGGCGUUUGUUCAACCAAAUGGCUUCCUCUCCAUUUAGCACCCAGUGUUAACUCCAGGAAUCGAACUCUCCACCCUUGCUUCCAGCGUCCCAGCGAAGUGAUUGUUCCACCAACUCGGCUGUGCCCUGGGGGGCAACUUUGUUCACUUUUAUACCGCAGCUGUACUGGUAGAGGCCAAACGGAUUAUUUCCCUCUACAACCAUGUUCAUUAUGCCACAAUCAUGGAUGUGGAGCAGUGCAAAGCUUGCUAUUACUAAAGUUCAUAGGGACAUAAUUAACCGUGUAUGUUGGCUUCUUGAAUUUUUGCUCCUUUUUUCAUGUGUUGAGAUUCUAGAAUUUCAGAGAACAAUUCAAGUUUGUGUGAUGGUUUUGCCAUAUAUGAUGCGUGUACCUAUGAUCCCC